GUUGGAAAGAGCGCUUUUAUUAGAUCAAGACCAACCGGUAUCGCCUUCGGGUGUGCCGUCGGAUUGAUGACUCUGGAUAACCUUUGCCGAUCGUAUGGCCCCGAGCCGACGACGAAUCUUUCAAAUGUCUGCCCUAUCAACUUUCGUUGGUAGGUGAUUUGCCUACCAAGGUGUUUACGGGUAACGGGGGAUCAGGGUUCGAUCCCGGAGAGGGAGCAUGAGAAACGGCUACCACAUCCAAGGAAGGCAGCAGGCGCGCAAAUUACCCACUCUUAGCACGAGGAGGUAGUGACGAAAAAUAACAAUACGGGACUCUUUCGAGGCCCCGUAAUUGGAAUGAGUACACUCUAAACCCGUUAACGAGGAUCUAUUGGAGGGCAAGUCUGGUGCCAGCAGCCGCGGUAAUUCCAGCUCCAAUAGCGUAUAUUAAAGCUGUUGCAGUUAAAAAGCUCGUAGUCGGAUUUCGGGCGGCGGCCAAUGGUUCGGUUCCGUGCCGAUACUGCUGGUCGCGGCCUCCACGCCGGUCGUCCUUCGGUGCUCUUAACUGAGUGCCUUAGGUAGCCGGAGCGUUUACUUUGAAAAAAUUAGAGUGUUCAAGGCAGGCCUCGAGCCUGAAUGAUGGUGCAUGGAAUAAUGGAAUAGGACCUCGGUUCUAUUUUGUUGGUCUUCGGAACUGGAGGUAAUGAUUAAUAGGGACGGACGGGGGCAUUCGUAUUGCGGCGUUAGAGGUGAAAUUCUUGGAUCGUCGCAAGACGGACUACUGCGAAAGCAUUUGCCAAGAAUGUUUUCAUUGAUCAAGAGCGAAAGUCAGAGGAUCGAAGACGAUCAGAUACCGUCCUAGUUCUGACCAUAAACGAUGCCAACUAGCGAUCCGGCUCCGUUGCUUUAUAAGACUGGCCGGGCAGCUCCCGGGAAACCAAAGUCUAUGGGUUCCGGGGGAAGUAUGGUUGCAAAGCUGAAACUUAAAGGAAUUGACGGAAGGGCACCACCAGGAGUGGAGCCUGCGGCUUAAUUUGACUCAACACGGGAAAACUCACCCGGCCCGGACACCGUAAGGAUUGACAGAUUGAAAGCUCUUUCUUGAUUCGGUGGGUGGUGGUGCAUGGCCGUUCUUAGUUUGG
rnacentral:rRNA from 1 species